UGGGAAUUUAUAGAGAAGUCAUUCUCCCUUACAAAAGGGGCAUGCUUGAGCGAAGUGUACACACUUGCCACCAUGUUUCCCUCCUGUCAUAAAUGUGACAAGAGUAAUAUAGCUGAAGCAGCCAUCUUGUGACCACAAGCAACGGACUAGUAGGGGAAGAGUCGACACACUGAAGAGAAGAAAGCAAGGUUUUUUUCUAGAAAGAAGAAAGAGAAAAGUGGAUUCUCAACUAGAAGCAAAAACAUCCACUGAAGUUUGUGAGAGUGCAAUAGGCAGGGCCACAGAUCUUUCUGAGGAAGUACUACUUGAAAGCUUGGGAAUGAAGAGGAACACAAACACAGGGAAGAGAAGAGAUCCAUGUAAACGUUACAUGUCCUGCCUCAAAUU
rnacentral:lncRNA from 1 species